CUGAUACUCCCUCCGUCCGAAAAUACUUGUCAUCAAGAUGAAUAAAAGGGGAUGUAUCUAGAUGUAUUUUAGUUCUAGAUAUAGCCCCUUUUAUCCAUUUUGGUGACAAGUAUUUCUGGACGGAGGGAGUAUUAU
rfam:Triticum urartu cultivar G1812 contig672520, whole genome shotgun sequence.